GGCAGAACAGGCACCCCAGGGUUCAGGUCCACGUUAGAACAUCUGGGCCCAUCUCAGAUCAACUGAAUUAGAAUGUCUAGGGGUGAAACCUGGGCAUCAACAAUUAUUUAAAAAAGUAAGUCUGAUGUGUGGCCAUGUUGAAAACCUCUACCUGAGAGAGUUUCUGUUUUGCGUUGUUUUUACCUUAAUCAGAGGAAAAAUUAUAGUUGGAGACCAAGAGGCUAGAGCUAUGAUCAUCACAAAACGUAAACUCCAAGGUUUUUAACGAUAAAAUGUGAACACUUGUGUCUGAGCUAAGCAGCAGUUCUAACCACUGUAACCAUGUGGGAGAAGUGAAAACGUGGAGAUUUGUGCUCACCUGUUUUGGCUUCAGAAUCACCCAGCCAGCUAAGAAUCCGGCCAGGUGGGACACUGCGGAACGUGGUAGCAGAUCAACUGGCAACAGGGCUUCAAGGAAAUCUUAAUGAUAUUGGACAUUUCGUUUUUCCUGGUGUACAAGACAGAGUCAAAAGAUGAAAGUGGUGUUUCUGAUCACUUUCCUUUUGGUCACAGCUCACUGCGCACCAGUCCAAGAAUUUCAUCCUGCAAUUCUCUAUCAUCAGUUCUUGCACUGGAAGCAACUUCAGAGGUUAUAUAAACUCUUGAAUAACUGUAGGAAACCACCAAUGAACAGAAGAACUACCAUGGUCCCCACGCCACCAUUUCCACCAAUAACAGAAAUUGCUCCUCCUUUGACUUCUAACCCACCAGUCCCUCCUACCCCCGACCAGCGGGGAGAUUCACUAUUCACGAAGUUCUGAAGGAACUCAUUAGCCCAAUGCAGCUUCUCCCUCCAGGAAUUCUUUAGUACCACAGCUGAAGAUCAAAGACAUUAUCUGGCUGCUCCCUGUACCACAGUGUGCCCUUUUCAAUAUCCUGGAUAAAAUGACAAUGAUUCAUUAAAAAUGUUUAUAUCACUAUAUUAUGCCCAAGUGGAAUAUCAUUUCCCAUCAUUACCAGCAUUGUAAAAGAAGGAUGAGGAAAAUGAUCAAAGGAAU
rnacentral:lncRNA from 1 species